GAUGAACGCUGGCGGCGUGCUUAAUACAUGCAAGUCGGACGGAGAUUGUAGCAAUACGAUCUUAGUGGCGAACGGGUGAGUAACGCGUUGGUGACCUGCCCCGAAGAGAGGGAUAACAGAUCGAAAGGUCUGCUAAUACCACAUGUGGUCUAAUUGGUUAGAGGCGAAUAGACUGAAGGAGCAAUCCGCUUCGGGAGGGGCCUGCGUCCCAUCAGCUAGUUGGUAGGGUAAAGGCCUACCAAGGCGACGACGGGUAGGGGACCUGAGAGGGUGACCCCCCACACUGGCACUGAAACACGGGCCAGACACCUACGGGUGGCAGCAGUAGGGAAUAUUGCACAAUGGGCGAAAGCCUGAUGCAGCAACGCCGCGUGCGCGAUGAAGGCCUUCGGGUUGUAAAGCGCUUUUCUGGAGGACGAGCAAGGACGGUACUCCAGGAAUAAGGCUCGGCUAACUACGUGCCAGCAGCCGCGGUAAAACGUAGGAGCCAAGCGUUAUCCGAAUUCACUGGGCGUAAAGCGCGUGCAGGCGGUCUGGUAAGUUGGGUGUGAAAUCUCCUGGCUCAACUGGGAGAGGACGUUCAAUACUGUCAGACUCGAGGGCGGUAGAGGGAGGUGGAAUUCCCGGUGUAGUGGUGGAAAUGCGUAGAUAUCGGGAGGAACACCUGUGGCGAAAGCGGCACCCUGGCCCACACCUGACGCUGAGGUACGAAAGCGUGGGGAGUAAACAGGAUUAGAUACCCUGUAAUCCACGCUGUAAACGAUGUCAACUGGGUGUCGGUAGCUUUACGCUAUCGGUG
rnacentral:rRNA from 1 species